GUGCUUCAGCAGCACAUAUACUAAUAUUGCAGCAAUACAGACAAGAUUAGCAUGGCCACUGUGCAAGGAUGACAUGCAAAUUCAUGAAUUGUUCCAUAUAUGU
ensembl:snRNA U6 U6 spliceosomal RNA